UACGGGGGGGGCAAGCGUUGUUCGGAUUUACUGGGCGUACAGGGCGCGUAGGCGGUUGGGUAAGCCCUCCGUGAAAUCUUCGGGCCUAACCCGGAAAGUGCGGAGGGGACUGCUCGGCUAGAGGAUGGGAGAGGAGCGCGGAAUUCCCGGUGUAGCGGUGAAAUGCGUAGAGAUCGGGAGGAAGGCCGGUGGCGAAGGCGGCGCUCUGGAACAUUUCUGACGCUGAGGCUCGAAAGCGUGGGGAGCAAACAGG
rnacentral:rRNA from 1 species